GUGUAAAAUAAACAAAUGAUAUUUUUUUUUUUACGUUACCUCAAGAGCCAGAAUUUUUUUCAUUAAUAAUUCGAGUUUACAUCGAUAAAAUAUAUUAGAAGCUUGUUCUUUAAAAAAAAAAAAGACAAACUUCAGAAAAUAGGAUGUAGUUUCAACUUGAUACUAGAACAUUUUUAAAGUCUUGAAACUGGAGUACUUGAAAAAACAAGAAAAGAAACAGAAAAUGUCUUUGGUGUUUCUCCCAGGGCUUCAUUGUUUCUGAAAUGUAAACAUUCGGCACAGCUGCGGUACGGGACCUCGUACCUUACCCCGAGUUUCCUGAACAGGCACGAACACACCCUCACAUGCACGUUCACGCUGAUUCAAACAGAUGCAAGUAAGGUCAGCAGAGCUAAUUUUAGACAGAGCGGUUAAUCGCUGUGCUGAAGCCUGCCUCUAUAAAGCCUGGCCCCGUGCUCCAGUUCACCCACUUAACUGCAGAGACCAGACAUCGCUCUCUUUAUCUCCGAGUUACAGACCAACAGCGACUAAAGAAUGAAACGCAGACGGCUGCUGUCCUUGCCGCUUUUACCCACGAUAACGGAGGCACUGGAGGACCUGCCGGUCCAUCCCUCAUCCUCACAGUCCUCACAAGGCGUCCACUCCCUGAACGACUACAUGACAAGCAUCCAGGCGCUGGCCCGUCCAGCUGGAGUCCCCAGCUGCGGCCCCGUCAGGUUACAGAGGUUGCCGAGGCUGCGGCUGUUCUCCAAGCCCACCUCUGUCUCUCGCGUGUCCCCUCUCACGCAAAGGACUUCAAGAACAUGCAGUCAAAGUCUGAACAGGACUGAGGAUUUUUCCCUCCAGAUGAGGAGAGAACAAGACAGUAAGGGCAAAGACCCUGUGGACUGGCUCUUUGGACAGAAGCUGGAUUAGAAAGAAGCUGCUGCUUGAAAAGCAUUGUGGGUAUUUGAUGGAAAAACAUCUACUGCUGGAUUAACCUCACAACAAUACAACUGUGUGGUGAAAAUCCACAUUCAUUCCCGUCCUGUGCGGACUCAAGUCUACAUGUUUACAUGUUCAUAGAGAGUAUUAUUUUGUUACGAUGUGAAUCAUCCUGUUUCUAAUAAAAUGAAAAAUAUCAAGAAAA